rnacentral:rRNA from 1 species
AGUUUCCGGGCUUGCUCGGAAAUUAGUGGCGAACGGCUGAGUAACGCGUAGGUGACCUACCCCGUAGUGUGGAAUAACUGCCCGAAAGGGUAGCUAAUACCGCAUGUUGAGCCGACAUCAAUGUCGUCUCCAAAGCAGAAAUGCGCUAUGGGCGGGGCCUGCGUUCGAUUAGCUAGUUGGUGGGGUAAUGGCUCACCAAGGCGACGAUCGAUAGGUGGUCUGAGAGGACGAUCACCCAGACUGGGACUGAGACACGGCCCAGACUCCUACGGGAGGCAGCAGUCGGGAAUUUUGCGCAAUGGGGGAAACCCUGACGCAGCAAUACCGCGUGUGGGAUGAAGGCCUUCGGGUCGUAAACCACUUUUUUCGGGGACGAUAAUGACGGUACCCGAAGAAUAAGCCACGGCUAACUACGUGCCAGCAGCCGCGGUAAUACGUAGGUGGCAAGCGUUGUCCGGAUUUACUGGGCGUAAAGCGCGCGCAGGCGGUGAAUGAAGU